GAAAAUAACAGUAAAUAAAAGUACAUUAGUGCAAUUCAAUUAAAGCGAUGCUAUCAUCACCAAAAACGUCACAAAUCAAGAAGAUUAUGUCCUUCUGUAUAGUCCAUAGCUGAAAAUCAGGGUAUGACUGUAACUGCUCACAUCUCGCGAUCUAAGGUAUGUAAGUUUAGCGAUGCAAUCAUCACCAAAACAGCAGAACAAAAGUCCAACCAUAGGUAUUGCUUAACGAAGUGUAAAUAAAUUGAGCGAUGCAAUCAUCACUUUAAAAAGGUCGC
rnacentral:lncRNA from 1 species